AUGCCCUAGUAACGGCGAGUGAAGCGGCAACAGCUCAAAUUUGAAAUCUGGCCCUCGGGUCCGAGUUGUAAUUUGUAGAGGAUGAUUUUGGUUAGGUACCUUCCGAGUUCCUUGGAACAGGACGCCUUAGAGGGUGAGAGCCCCGUACGGUUGGAUGCCGAGCCUCUGUAAAUCUCCUUCGACGAGUCGAGUAGUUUGGGAAUGCUGCUCUAAAUGGGAGGUAAAUUUCUUCUAAAGCUAAAUACCGGCCAGAGACCGAUAGCGCACAAGUAGAGUGAUCGAAAGAUGAAAAGCACUUUGAAAAGAGGGUUAAAUAGUACGUGAAAUUGUUGAAAGGGAAGGGCUUGUGACCAGACCUUUGCCUUGCGGAUCAUCCGGUGUUCUCACCGGUGCACUCCGCUUGGUUGAGGCCAGCAUCAGUUUCGGCGGCGGGAUAAAGACUUCAGGAACGUGACUCCCCCGGGAGUGUUAUAGCCUGCUGUGUAAUACCGCCGCUGGGACUGAGGACCGCGCUUCGGCUAGGAUGCUGGCAUAAUGGUCAUCAGCCACCCGUCUUGAAACACGGACCAAGGAGUCGAACAUUUAUGCGAGUUUUUGGGUGUUAAACCCUCAAGCGUAAUGAAAGUGAACGGAGGUGAGAGCCCUUACGGGUGCAUCAUCGACCGAUCCUGAUGUCUUCGGAUGGAUUUGAGUAAGAGCAUAACUGUUCGGACCCGAAAGAUGGUGAACUAUGCGUGGAUAGGGUGAAGCCAGAGGAAACUCUGGUGGAGGCUCGCAGCGGUUCUGACGUGCAAAUCGAUCGUCAAAUCUGCGCAUGGGGCGAAAGACUAUCGACCAUCU
rnacentral:rRNA from 1 species